rnacentral:rRNA from 1 species
AGCGAACGCUGGCGGCAGGCCUAACACAUGCAAGUCGAACGAUCCUUCGGGAUAGUGGCGGACGGGUGAGUAACACGUGGGAACGUGCCCUUUGGUUCGGAACAACUCAGGGAAACUUGAGCUAAUACCGAAUGCGCCCUUCGGGGGAAAGAUUUAUCGCCAUUGGAGCGGCCCGCGUCUGAUUAGCUAGUUGGUGAGGUAAUGGCUCACCAAGGCGACGUUCAGUAGCUGGUCUGAGAGGAUGAUCAGCCACACUGGGACUGAGACACGGCCCAGACUCCUACGGGAGGCAGCAGUGGGGAAUCUUGCGCAAUGGGCGAAAGCCUGACGCAGCCAUGCCGCGUGAAUGAUGAAGGUCUUAGGAUUGUAAAAUUCUUUCACCGGGGACGAUAAUGACGGUACCCGGAGAAGAAGCUCCGGCUAACUUCGUGCCAGCCGCCGCAGUAACAC